rnacentral:rRNA from 1 species
AAGCACUUAAGGUGCGGAGCCGUAGCGAAAGCGAGUUUUAACUGAGCGUUCAGUUACUUGACGUAGACCCGAAACCGGGCGACCUACCCAUGAGCAGGAUGAAGCGAAAGUAAAAUUUCGUGGAGGUCCGAACCCACGAGCGUUGAAAAGCUCGGGGAUGACUUGUGGGUAGCGGUGAAAUUCCAAUCGAGCCCGGAGAUAGCUGGUUCUCCCCGAAAUAGCUUUAGGGCUAGCCUCAAGGUGAGAGAUACGGAGGUAGAGCACUGAAUGUCCUAGGGGGUAUUGCACCUACCGAAGACUAUCAAACUCCGAAUGCCGUCAUCUUAUACUUGGGAGUCAGACUGUGGGUGAUAAGAUUCAUAGUCGAAAGGGCAACAGCCCAGAUCGUCAGCUAAGGUCCCUAAAUGUAAGUUAAGUGGUAAAGGAUGUGGGAUUGCACAGACAACCAGGAUGUUGGCUUAGAAGCAGCCACUCAUUCAAAGAGUGCGUAAUAGCUCACUGGUCGAGUGAUCCUGCGCCGAAGAUUUCCGGGGCUAAAACUU